rnacentral:rRNA from 1 species
GAUGAACGCUGGCGGCGUGCCUAAUACAUGCAAGUCGAGCGAACAGACGAGGAGCUUGCUCCUCUGACGAUAGCGGCGGACGGGUGAGUAACACGUGGAUAACCUACCUAUAAGACUGGGAUAACUUCGGGAAACCGGAGCUAAUACCGGAUAAUAUAUUGAACCGCAUGGUUCAAUAGUGAAAGACGGUUUUGCUGUCACUUAUAGAUGGAUCCGCGCCGCAUUAGCUAGUUGGUAAGGUAACGGCUUACCAAGGCAACGAUGCGUAGCCGACCUGAGAGGGUGAUCGGCCACACUGGAACUGAGACACGGUCCAGACUCCUACGGGAGGCAGCAGUAGGGAAUCUUCCGCAAUGGGCGAAAGCCUGACGGAGCAACGCCGCGUGAGUGAUGAAGGUCUUCGGAUCGUAAAACUCUGUUAUUAGGGAAGAACAAAUGUGUAAAUAACUAUGCACGUCUUGACGGUACCUAAUCAGAAAGCCACGGCUAACUACGUG